rnacentral:lncRNA from 1 species
UUCUUUAGGGAUGGUUAAGAAUUUGACACUGUAGGUUGGGGAUUAAGUUGUGAAAAUAAGAUUGUUUUGGUUUUAGGGAAUUAAUUGAAUAAAAUGCAAAAGUUUAGGGUAAUUGUGUAAAAUGUCAAUAAGAAGUCAUAUGCAUCAAAUGAAUUGUUAAAAAGUAUUUGGCACUGAUAGUUGAAAUAAAAUUACUGUAUAUAUCAAGAACCAGUAGAUAAUCGUGGAAAACAGAAAAUUGUUGAUUAGUCCCUAAUAUUGCCAUAGUUGUUGUUUAGCCCUGGUAAGUUCAUAUGGUAUUAUUUUGUGUAUUUUUGUAAUAUCAUUAUUGAAAUUUUUUAAUAUGAUGACAUGGGUUAUAAACUAAAAUGUUAUGAUUGAAUUGGUGAGAAAAUGGAUUGAAAUGUAAAUUGUUAUAUGGUUACGUGUAUUGAGCCGAAAUGAACAUAGGAUAGGAUACAAUUAACAUGCCAAUAAAUUAUUUUGUGUACUGAAUGAGAUUGACUUUUGAUGAGAUGAUGAUUCAUGACUUGUUAUUGUACACUGAUUAUAUCGGAGUCUGACAUUUGUUGUGGAUUAUCGAGUUAUAUUUACAGUGAUUCUAGUGUGUUAUUGGAGGCGAAUGUAAAGCCUACGAGCUUGGCACUUGGUGCCCAAACGUGUUCUUGGUUGGAUUGGCUUGGUUGAGCAUUUUGGCAUGUCCUGGGUGGAUAACUACGUAUCCAUAUCUAUAUUCAUCCGUUCAUCGGUCUGAAUUUCAAUAGUUAAAUGACAUGUUGAUGAUAUAUAUUUGACAUUUGGUUAUGAUGCCUUGUGGAUGACUUGUAUAAAUUUUCAUGAUUUUCAAUAUUAUAUCAUGAGUUGAUAAUGAUUGAUAUCGUACAAAUGAGAUGAUUAAAUGACUUGUAUAUAUGAAACUCACCUAUUGAAUGCUUGUGGUUGACAGGGUUAAUGUUAGUUAAUGAGUUUGUUAGUUAUUAAACUAUGUUUUCAAGGUAAGUUAUAUAGUUUUAAGCUAUGAACUUACUAAGCUCAUUGAAGCUUACUCAUGUCAUUUUUCCUGUUUCCUUGUAGAUAUUAUUUUGUGAAACCGGGUAAUCGGAUCAAGUUGAAGAUCACAUUAUCCAACUAUCUUUCAGUAGACUUUGAAACAUUUAUUUUAAGAUAUGUGGCAAGUAAUAGGAGUAUAUUGUAUUUGUUUAUAAGUAUUCUUUAUA